rnacentral:lncRNA from 1 species
UUUAUAACAGAAUGCUAAGUUCCCUUGAAGGCAGAAAAGAGCCAAAACUGCAAGUCAUGUAGCCCAGGCAUGAACAAUAGAAAAAGCUUUGACCUCCAACAACGUCCAGAACCAACAAUUCUCCCUGCAAAACCAAGAAGACUGGGACAUAACCCGAACCAGACCACUGGGACACUUUCAGAAGUGAGAAGUCUAUCGGCCAGGAAGAUCCAGGGUUAAAAUCCGCCUCAACAUACCUUGCAAUAAAUGGUCAAAUUUGCAGCCCUCCAAUCAGAUCCCUCCAAGUCAAUAUUCCUAAAUUCUUUCCCUGGCCCUCUGCUGAUCUCUUAAAACUUGACCUAGAUCCCAAACAGGGAAGACAGAUUUGAGCUGCGUCUUCUAUUGCCUUGCUUGCGGCCUUUGCAAUAAAGCCUUUUUUUUGUCAAGAGCCAGUGCCAUUUUACUGGCUUCUCUGUGCACUGGAAAGUGAGCCCAUUUGCUGAAUAACAAUUCUGGUACCCAAGGUGGGACAAAAGCCUGCCCAAGGCACUAUAGCGCCUCAGUGGGGUCCUGAGACUCUUUGCAUCCAAGUGGCAUCACCAAGAUUGGUUUGUCUGUUUGUCUGGAGCCUCAGUUGGCUGUCCCUGUUUCUCCACUUGGGGUCCUCCUCCAACACUACUUUGUCUUUUGAGGAAAGAAUUGCUUCUGGAUCAGAUGUCUUUUGGUUGUGGAAGCUAAGAAGUCUGGAAUGAAGAGGCCAGCUGAUUCGGUUCAUGGUAAAGGUCCUCUUCCUUCCUUGUAGAUGGCCAGCUUCUUCCUGCGUCCUCACCUGGUGAAGAGACAACAUUUUUUCUUCCUCUUCUUAUAAGGCCAUUAACCUUAUGAGGCCCCAAAUCUCACCCUCAUGAGAUCUAACCUAAUUAUUUUCUAAGCCUUAUUUAAUCUGACCCUAAUUAUUUUCCAAAUACCAUCUGCAAAUGCCAUUAAACUUGGAGUUAGGG